AGGCCUGGUCACCAAACUUCUAGACUUGCUCGGCGAACUGACGCUUCAAAAUGAGUUGAAGAAACUGCAAGAUGGUCAAGCAAUCGGGAAUGAAAAACAUCAAAGACAACUUAUCGAUCUUAUAAUGGAACAACGCCUACUCCUUGCCGAAGCUAUAUUCUGCAUCGCUUGUCAAACGCCUUUGUCGCAAGCAGAGACUUUGAAGGUUUUUGGUUAUUUGAAGGACGUCAGUCCAAAUGACGCGACGGGGGAAAUCGAUCAAGCUGAUUUAUUUGUAUUUUUCGCCUUGUUGUAUUCACUCAAUGUCAGCAGCUUGGAAACACAGUCAGAACUGCCCGCAAAUAAUG